GGAUGCGAUCAUACCCGCACUAAAGCAUCGGAUCCCAUCAGAACUCCAAAGUUAAGCGUGCUUGGACGAGAGUAGUACUAGGAUGGGUGACAUCCUAGGAAGUCCUCGUGUUGCAUUGC
rfam:Triticum aestivum genome assembly, contig: Triticum_aestivum_CS42_TGACv1_scaffold_392481_5AS